GAAUAUAUGGGUGGAAAGAUCAUGAUAUGAUCAAAGAUGCUGAGGGAAAAAAUGAUGAUUGACAAAUCGAGUGCAGAUAUUAUCCAGAUUCCACAUGGAUGGAAGGAAAUAGAUGUGCUGUCUGAUCCUGAGAUCAUCAACAUGAUGCGAGGAAAGAAGGUUGACCAAAAGCUGCUUCAAAGGCUGAAGACCAUUCUGAAUGUGGUUGAAGCUGUGCUGAAUGAUGCUGAGAAGAAACAGAUUACUGACCCUGCUGUCAAGAGGUGGCUCGAAGAUCUCCAAGAUGCUGUGUAUGAUGCUGAUGACUUGUUGGAUGAAGUCGCCACCAAAGCUGCCACUCAGAAAGAUCCACCAGGUAACUUCCUGUCUCGCUUUCUCAAUUUGCAAGAUAGGGAGAUGGUUACUAGGAUUGAAGAAAUCACUGCUAGACUAGAAGAUAUUGCAAAACACAAAGAUAUCCUUCGUCUAGAAAAGAUUGCAGCCAAGAACAUGUCUGGGAGGAUUCCAUCAACCUCACUGGUUAAAAAAUCUGAUAUAUUUGUUGGAAGGGACAAAGACAGAGAUACCAUAGUGAAAUUGUUGUUAGAUGACGAUGGUGAGCUGUCUGUGAUUCCCAUCAUGGGCAUGGGUGGGAUAGGAAAAACUACUUUGGCUAAAUUGGUUUAUAAUGAUGACAAAGUGCAGCAGAAGUUUAAUGUGAAGGCAUGGGUUUGUGUUGGUGAGGUGGAAUUUGAUGUUCUGAAGGUCACAAAGGCGGUGAUAGAGAAAACUUGCAGUCCUUGUUACUCAAAUGAUUUAGAUACAGCUCAAAAUCAUUUGAAGAAUGGGCUAGCGGGGAAGAACUUCUUAGUUGUUCUGGAUGAUGUAUGGAGCAGUAAUCGUGAGCGUUGGGAAAAUUUUCUAACUCCUUUUGAAUGUGGAAGUCAGGUCUGCAAGAUUCUUGUAACAACACGUCUUGAUACAGUUGCUUCUGUGGUGAAAACUAGACAUAAUGAAGCUCACAAUAUGAGUUUGUUGGAUGAAGAACAAUGCUGGUCAGUGUUUGCAAAUCGAGCAUGGGAUCCUGCAGAAUCCCGAGAUCAUUCAGCUUUAGAAGAAAUUGGUAGAAAAAUUGUUAAAAAAUGUAAAGGAUUACCUUUGGCAGCUCAAACAGUUGGAGGGUUAUUGAGAGGGAAAGAUAAUGAAAAGGAUUGGAAUGAUGUUUUGAAUAGUGAAUUCUGGGAACUCUCUGAGGAGGAUAGUGGGAUUCUUCCUGCAUUGAGAAUCAGUUAUUACCACCUCCCAUCCUAUUUAAAACGCUGCUUUGUUUAUUGUUCUUUGUAUCCGAAGGACUUUGAAUUUGAUAGAGAUGAAUUGACAUUAUUGUGGAUGGCGGAAGGUCUUUUGCUAGAACCAAAGAGUGGAAACACUUUGGAAGAAAUUGGUUAUGAAUAUUUUGAUGAUUUGGUUUCGAGAUCAUUUUUUCAACAUUCUAACACUUAUGUGAAUUCAUUUGUGAUCCACGAUCUCAUGCAUGAUUUAGCAAAGUUCUAUGGUGGAAAGUUCUUUUCUAGUAUCCUUCAACUCAAGAAUGCAGCAAAGCAUGAUACCAGAACUCGCCACUUGUCAUGUGCUCGCCGCAAGAAUGAUGAGGAUUUGCUUAUGAAGAUCACGGAAGCAUGCCAUAGGUUAAAACAUGCGAGGACAUUGUUGCAAAUUUAUAAUGAAUAUGGUCUAUUCUCAGUGGGAGAUAGAGUAGCCGUUUCUUGUGACUUACUAGAACAAUUAAAGUGUUUACGAGUUUUGUCAUUUAAUUUUCUUUCAGAUGAUGAAAACUUGAUGCAUGGUUCAAUUGGCAAAUUGAUCCAUUUGCGUUAUUUGGAUCUUUCAUACACAUCCAUCGUGACUUUGCCCGAGUCUUUAAGUUGCUUGUACAAUUUACAAACCUUGAAGUUGAGAAACUGUAGAAAACUUAAAAAGCUUCCUAGCAAGAUGCAAAAUCUUGUGAAUUUGCGUCAUCUUGAUGUUUUUGAAACUGGUUUGGAAGAGAUGCCAAAAAAGAUGAGCGAAUUAAAAGAUUUGCAAAUUUUAAGUUGCUAUAUUGCGGGCAAACAUGAAGAGAAUGGGAUUGGAGAAUUGGGAGAGCUAGCAAAUCUUCAUGGAUCAUUGUGGAUUCAGAAAUUAGAGAAUGUUAAGAUUAGUGGGGAAGCAUGGAGUGCAAGAAUGGAUGAAAAAAUGCACCUGAAUGCUUUAGAUUUGAGUUGGACAUCAUUUGAAGAAAGUGAGGUUUGUGAUUCCCAAACUGAAAAAGAUAUACUUGAGAAAUUACGUCCUCACAAAGACUUGAAGGAGCUAUCCAUCGGGUGUUACAGAGGUACGAUGUUUCCGGAUUGGGUAGGGCAGUCUUCGUACCACAACAUGACUUCGUUGGAGCUGAGUGGAUGCAGGAAUUGUUGGGUGCUUCCUUCACUCGGACAGUUACCUGCUCUAACGAGAUUGCUGAUUUCAGGUUGUGAUAAGCUGAAGAAGAUUGGUGGGUCAUUCUAUAAGGGUGAUGGAACUCAUCAGCAUCAGGAGACACCCUUCCGAUCCCUUAGAUCUCUGGACUUUCGUCAUAUGCGUUGCUUGGAGGAAUGGGAGUCGUAUGCAUGUGAUGAUGAUGAUGAUGCACCAUUUCCUCAACUUGAGACGCUUAUUAUAGAGAACUGCCCUAAGUUAAGAGGAGAUUUGCCCACUUUCCUUCCGUCUUUGAAACAAUUUUACAUUUCAGGAUGCGAGGAGCUUGAUUGUUAUCUGCCAAGAGCUCCCAUCCUAUGCGAAUUAAGAAUACAUGGCAAACAGGAAGCAAGAAUGCGGGACCUACCACUUUCACUGCAACAUCUAAGAAUCGAAGGAAAGCAGCUUGUGGAGGAUGUGUUUGAGGCCAUGACCCACACCCAACCAACCUCUCUCAGUUAUUUAAGAAUCUCAAAGUGCUCGUCAGCAAUAUCAUUUCCAGGGGAUUCUUUGCCCCCUUCAUUGAAACAGUUGCGGAUCAAUAACUGCAAGAAUGUAGAAUUCCCAAUGCAACACCAACAACAUGAGUCACUAACCAGUCUUGAAAUAGACAACAGCUGUGAUUCACUUACAUCCUUCCCAUUGUCAGCGUUCCCAAAUCUCAAGUCCCUCAUAAUCGCCAGACGAGAAAAUUUGACAUCUCUAGAGGAGCUGUCACAAUCACAGUCCCUUCGAGAAUUAAGGGUUGAAGAAUGCCCUAAGCUGGAGAACAUAAUAAGGCUGCCUGCCUCUUUAAGGGAACUCUCCAUCAGCAAAUGUCAGUUGUUGGGUGAAGGCAUAGAGAGGAAGGACCCCCACAUUUGGCCAUCCAUUUCCCACAUCCCCGGUAUUUAUGUUGAUGGGAAACAGAUUCACAAUGACUCAACAUCUUAAAACAGCUUAAGACAAUGGAGAUAGGAAGGCAUUGUAGAAUCAUGGAAACACUUUUUUCAGCAUUGUGCAUUGGAUACUGAUGGUGAAAUAGAUAUGGUUUCAAAUUUCAGGGCAACGUUGAACACAGCUUAUUGGUCCAGAGGAUGAAGGGGAUGAAUCUUGAGAAGUAUAGUGAAAGCUUCAAACUCUCAUUUAGUUUUUUGUUUUCACAAAUUCACAAUACAUGACAAUCCUUAAUAUCAUAAUCUUCUUCUUUUUCUUUGACCAGUUACAUCACCUUACUGUACAACUAACGUGGCUUUGAAUGCUUUGACUGAAUCAGUACCCUGUCGCACUAUGGGAUUUACAGCAAGAAUUGAAUAAAUUCACGCUCCUUUAUGGCAAUCCUCCUAUAUUCAUAUAUGAAAAUGGUCAAAGAACACCAAGCAAUGCAUCAUUACAAGAUGAGUCAAGGGUCAAAUACUUGCAUGGAUAUAUUGGUGCCACACUUGAUGCCUUGAGGUAUGGAAAGUGCAUCUAGAUUCUUCUAUUUUUGUGCUUUUGAAAUACUAGAGUU